AAGGCUGAGCUGUGAUGGGGAAGCUCCUUAUGGAGCGAAGUCUUUGAUUCCCCGCUGCCAAGAAAAGCUUCUAGCGAGAUAAAAGGUGCCUGUACCGCAAACCGACACAGGUAGGCGAGGAGAGAAUCCUAAGGUGUGCGAGAGAACUCUGGUUAAGGAACUCGGCAAAAUGACCCCGUAACUUCGGGAGAAGGGGUGCUUUCUUAACGGAAAGCCGCAGUGAAUAGGCCCAAGCGACUGUUUAGCAAAAACACAGCUCUCUGCGAAGCCGUAAGGCGAAGUAUAGGGGGUGACACCUGCCCGGUGCUGGAAGGUUAAGGAGAGGGGUUAGCGUAAGCGAAGCUCUGAACUGAAGCCCCAGUAAACGGCGGCCGUAACUAUAACGGUCCUAAGGUAGCGAAAUUCCUUGUCGGGUAAGUUCCGACCCGCACGAAAGGUGUAACGAUUUGGGCACUGUCUCAACCAGAGACUCGGUGAAAUUAUAGUACCUGUGAAGAUGCAGGUUACCCGCGACAGGACGGAAAGACCCCGUGGAGCUUUACUGUAGCCUGAUAUUGAAUUUUGGUACAGUUUGUACAGGAUAGGCGGGAGCCAUUGAAACCGGAGCGCUAGCUUCGGUGGAGGCGCUGGUGGGAUACCGCCCUGACUGUAUUGAAAUUCUAACCUACGGGUCUUAUCGACCCGGGAGACAGUGUCAGGUGGGCAGUUUGACUGGGGCGGUCGCCUCCUAAAGUGUAACGGAGGCGCCCAAAGGUUCCCUCAGAAUGGUUGGAAAUCAUUCGUAGAGUGCAAAGGCAUAAGGGAGCUUGACUGCGAGACCUACAAGUCGAGCAGGGACGAAAGUCGGGCUUAGUGAUCCGGUGGUUCCGCAUGGAAGGGCCAUCGCUCAACGGAUAAAAGCUACCCCGGGGAUAACAGGCUUAUCUCCCCCAAGAGUCCACAUCGACGGGGAGGUUUGGCACCUCGAUGUCGGCUCAUCGCAUCCUGGGGCUGUAGUCGGUCCCAAGGGUUGGGCUGUUCGCCCAUUAAAGCGGUACGCGAGCUGGGUUCAGAACGUCGUGAGACAGUUCGGUCCCUAUCCGUCGUGGGCGUAGGAAAUUUGAGAGGAGCUGUCCUCAGUACGAGAGGACCGGGAUGGACGCACCGCUGGUGUACCAGUUGUUCUGCCAAGGGCAUAGCUGGGUAGCUAUGUGCGGAAGGGAUAAGUGCUGAAAGCAUCUAAGCAUGAAGCCCCCCUCAAGAUGAGAUUUCCCAUAGCGUAAGCUAGUAAGAUCCCUGAAAGAUGAUCAGGUUGAUAGGUUCGAGGUGGAAGCAUGGUGACAUGUGGAGCUGACGAAUACUAAUAGAUCGAGGACUUAACCAU
rnacentral:rRNA from 1 species